GUGAGGAAUAUUGGUCAAUGGGCGAGAGCCUGAACCAGCCAAGUCGCGUGAAGGAAGAAGGAUCUAUGGUUCGUAAACUUCUUUUGCAGGGGAAUAAAGUGCGGGACGUGUCCUGUUUUGUAUGUACCCUGAGAAUAAGGAUCGGCUAACUCCGUGCCAGCAGCCGCGGUAACACGGAGGAUCCGAGCGUUAUCCGGAUUUAUUGGGUUUAAAGGGUGCGUAGGUGGUUUGAUAAGUCAGCGGUGAAAGUUUGCAGCUUAACUGUAAAAAUGCCGUUGAAACUGUCGGACUUGAGUGUAAAUGAGGUAGGCGGAAUGCGUGGUGUAGCGGUGAAAUGCAUAGAUAUCACGCAGAACUCCGAUUGCGAAGGCAGCUUACUAAGCUACAACUGACACUGAAGCACGAAAGCGUGGGGAUCAAACAGGAUUAGAUACCCUUGUAGUCC
rnacentral:rRNA from 1 species